CGGGUUGGAGGUCGUCGAGAUAUUAUCACCCUAUCGAGUUAACGUUAUCGGAGUAAGUAAACUCAAGUGAUUCGAGUCUAUGGCAUGUAUAGGAUUUUAAUGUGAGUAUGUAAUAUUAUGAUUUAGCCAAAGGCAUUGGCUUGUUAUUAAGGUAGUAUUAGUCAUGUAAAUUGGCCUAUGUCGGCUAAUGACGUUAUGGGCCCAUAUGAUUAUUCUUAUGCAUUUAUGUUAUUAUUUCUUGUGAUGUGGCUUACAACAUGUAUGCCUAGAGAUUGAAUUGAGAUUCAUUGAUGAGCUAGUAACUAAUGCAGGAUUAAGUGAUUGGUAAAUAGUUAAUAAUGCUUGAUGAAUGGUUUGUGAUGUAAUGAUAGUUAUGUCUAGUAUGUAGUAAUGAUAUGGGCAAAUUCUAUAAUAUUUAUUACAUAAGAAAAUAACUUGAGCAUAUCAUGUUUGUAGAUGUUUAAGAGCUCAUUUAUGCCACGUUGUGUGUUAUUGGAUAAGUAUGUAUCUAUGCAUGUGGUGUGAGAGUGACAAAAGGCUUGAUAAUUAGACUAUUUCUGGCCACACGGCCUGAGCACAUGGGCGUGUGAAGCCUUAACGCAAGAGAUUUUUCUAAGUUUUUCAUGAGUUCUCGAUUGGGUCUCGAACCGCCCCGAAUGCAUGUAUUGGGCCUCGUAAGCUCGCAUAAGGGACAAAUUGCAUGUGAAAAGAAAAGUUUUUAAUUAUUUGAGAUUUCAUGGCCCUGUUUAGUAUGGAAGUGUUAGUAAAAGUUAGGUAGCACCUCGAACCCCGUCCCGGCGUCGGAUGCGGGCGAGGGGUGUUACAUUUAGUGGUAUCAGAGCAUGGUUUAGUCGGUUCUCGGACUAACCUAGCGUAAGAGAGUCUAGCUAUACAUGCCAUAGUAUUACUCGUGAUAGUGUGAUAUCUCUCGGCCCUAACAAAACUGUUGAUUAAGACAGGAAUGAGUUCGAACCGAGCAAAUCUUGAUAGAGAUAAGAGUAAAGUUGAGAUUAUUGAAUCAUGCUUGUGACAUGCUGAAAAUGGGAAAGAUGAUGAAAAUUGAGACUUGGACCUAGAACGGAAAGAAAUCGAUUUAUGGACUAGUAUGUCCUUUUCACAUUUGUGGUAUCGAGGCAAUCCAAGGAAAGAGUUAAUGAUGGUCUCAAUGAGGUAAGUCAUUGGUUAGCUCGGGU